rnacentral:rRNA from 1 species
AACGAACGCUGGCGGCGUGCCUAACACAUGCAAGUCGAGCGAGAAAGGGGGAGCAAUCCCCUGAGUACAGCGGCGCACGGGUGAGUAACACGUAGGUGAUCUCCCCUCGAGCCCGGAAUAACCUACCGAAAGGUGGGCUAAUACCGGAUAUGACCACGGGAGUUUCGGCUCCUGUGGUGAAAGAUGGCCUCUACCUGUAAGCUAUCACUCAAGGAUGAGCCUGCGUGCCAUUAGCUAGUUGGUGAGGUAAUGGCUCACCAAGGCUAUGAUGGCUAGCUGGUCUGAGAGGACGGGCCAGCCACAAUGGCACUGAAACACGGGCCAUACUCCUACGGGAGGCAGCAGUGGGAAUUGUGCGCAAUGGGCGAAAGCCUGACGCAGCAACGCCGCGUGAA